AGAUUGAACAUAAGAGUUUGAUCCUGGCUCAGAUUGAACGCUGGCGGCAUGCUUUACACAUGCAAGUCGGACGGCAGCACGGGGAAGCUUGCUUCUCGGGUGGCGAGUGGCGAACGGGUGAGUAACAUAUCGGAACGUACCGGGUAGCGGGGGAUAAC
rnacentral:rRNA from 1 species